UCUUAAUCUCCUCUCUUUCAUACUUUGAUUGCUUGAUCUUUUUGGUGAUAACAGAAUGGUAGCUAAUUCUGGGUAAAAAUUCAUUAACAGGCCCCCGGCCAGCAGCAAGUAGAGGUGAUAACAGUACCAGAUGAAAGUGGAGGGGAAGCUGCAGGACCACUCCAUGUUCCGUGUCCAGAUUCACCUCUUCAGAAAACAGAAACAGCACCACUCCACUACACCGAUACGAGAUUUCUGCCAACAGUUUUGAACCCUGGGCCAACUUGGUUCUGACAGCACCACUGACCUGCCACCAAGGAUGUUGUGAGGGGUCAGGAAUAUCUGCAGACCAUUUAAGGAAUGGGUGAAAGACUCCGG
rnacentral:lncRNA from 1 species